AUUAAAAAAGUACAACUCUACCAAGCACAAGUCUUCACCGUUCCACGCCUCCACCUUCACACACGCUCUCCAGCCUCCACGCUCAUCACGCCUCCACCUUCACACACCUUCGCACGCUCUCCGGCUGCCCAAUGACCGGCUCUGCACGCUCUCCUAUCGCACGCUCUCCGGCUCCCAAGAAAUCGGUUCAUUCUCCCACUCGAUUCCUUCUCCCAAAGGCGACGAUUCCUUCUCCCAAAACAGCGAUUCACGUUUUUGAAACCAUCACCAUUUAUCAAGGAAGAACUUUUGAGCAAUUUUUCGACCAGGUUACGAUCAAUGAGAUUAUCAUCAACAGCUAGAACAUGAGCUGAAGAUAUGUGUUGCUUUACAAUGCAUAACAGAGAAGUACAAUGCAACGCUUAGCAACCAGGGUGCCAAGAGGGCACUAUCUUCGGUUGAACAUUGUUCUGGCACGAGCCAUUCAUCAUUUCUUAUAAAGCGGUCAUUCUUACUACACCAGUUCUGUCUAAAGAGCGCCUGCAAUAAUCCAUCAGCAUACCAUUCCAUUUGAAUUUCUUAAAUGGGGGUCACUUGGUUCCCACAGGUUUUCAAACAACGAUUCACGUUCUUGAAACCAUCACCUUUUAUCAAGGUUAAUUCUUCAUUGACAUCAAUCUCUACUUCUCUUCUAGAAACAACUAUGAAACCACUCUAUUUGAUAGGCUUUUGCUUUUGGUAACACAACAUCCAUCAAUUGUGUUGUUGCUUGAAUUCCAGUUUUUUUAUCUCAUCCUAUGGUCAAACCUGCAUUGAUGAAUUUCCUAAGCACACUUAAAUUUUUAUA